GGUUGGGGAGGUGGGGGGAAGCGAAGCCCUAAGAUGGGCGGAGAGAAGCAGAUGUGGAGGUGAUGGCGAAGACCCAGAUAUAAGCAGUUGGUGAGUUCCAUGAGGAGACUGCAACUUCUCCACCCUGUGCCCCUCCAGAUCCCUCAUGCUGCUCUGUGUCCUCCAGGGUUGGCCUGUCCAAGUUCAACAGUGGGCUUCCACACCCUCCCACUUCCAGCUGGGUUGGCCAAGGACUUUCAACUGCGGCACCAGAAGGGACCUUAUAGCUGAGAAAAUUGAAGCUCAGAGAGCUGCAGCAGCUUGCCCAGCAUCAUACGGCACUGGAAAUGGUCAGCCAAUGUGUUCCGUAGAGCACGGUGGGUAACACACCCUUCAUCUUUCCAGGACCCCAUCGCCAACCUCUUCCUGUACCUCUGCUCCGCUGAGCACACAUUAAAAAAAAGAAAAGGCCGGGCACAGUGGCUUAUGCCUGUAAUCCCCGGACUUUGGGAGGC
rnacentral:lncRNA from 1 species